AGAGUUUGAUCCUGGCUCAGGAUGAACGCUAGCGACAGGCUUAACACAUGCAAGUCGAGGGGCAGCGGGGGAGCAGCAAUGCUCCCGCCGGCGACCGGCGCACGGGUGAGUAACACGUAUGGAACCUGCCCGCAGCAGGGGGAUAAGCGGAAGAAAUUCCGUCUAAUACCGCGUAACACCGCGGAGGGGCAUCCCUCGGCGGUUAAAGAUUCAUCGGCUGCGGAUGGCCAUGCGGCGCAUUAGCUAGUCGGCGGGGUAACGGCCCACCGAGGCGACGAUGCGUAGGGGUUCUGAGAGGAAGGUCCCCCACACUGGUACUGAGACACGGACCAGACUCCUACGGGAGGCAGCAGUGAGGAAUAUUGGUCAAUGGCCGGGAGGCUGAACCAGCCAAGUCGCGUGAGGGAAGACGGCCCUACGGGUUGUAAACCUCUUUUGUCAGGGAGCAAGAGGCGGGUCGGGACCUGCUGUGAGAGUACCCGAAGAAAAAGCAUCGGCUAACUCCGUGCCAGCAGCCGCGGUAAUACGGAGGAUGCGAGCGUUAUCCGGAUUUAUUGGGUUUAAAGGGUGCGCAGGCGGAGGCACAAGUCAGCGGUAAAAUCGCGGGGCUCAACCCCGCUCCGCCGUCGAAACUGUGUCCCUUGAGUGCGCGAAGGGUAGGCGGAAUGCGUGGUGUAGCGGUGAAAUGCAUAGAUAUCACGCAGAACUCCGAUCGCGAAGGCAGCCUACCGGCGCGCAACUGACGCUCAUGCACGAAAGCGUGGGUAUCGAACAGGAUUAGAUACCCUGGUAGUCCACGCAGUAAACGAUGAAUGCUAUCUGUCCGGCCGGAAUGACGGCUGGGUGGCACAGCGAAAGCGUUAAGCAUUACACCUGGGGAGUACGCCGGCAACGGUGAAACUCAAAGGAAUUGACGGGGGCCCGCACAAGCGGAGGAACAUGUGGUUUAAUUCGAUGAUACGCGAGGAACCUUACCCGGGCUCAAACGACACAGGGAUGCCGCCGAAAGGUGGCAGUCCUUCGGGACCUGUGUCGAGGUGCUGCAUGGUUGUCGUCAGCUCGUGCCGUGAGGUGUCGGCUUAAGUGCCAUAACGAGCGCAACCCCCAUCUUCAGUUGCCAUCAGGUAGAGCUGGGCACUCUGGAGAGACUGCCGGCGCAAGCUGCGAGGAAGGCGGGGAUGACGUCAAAUCAGCACGGCCCUUACGUCCGGGGCGACACACGUGUUACAAUGGCAGGUACAGCGGGAAGCCAGGCGGCGACGCCGAGCGGAACCCGAAAACCUGUCUCAGUUCGGAUCGGAGUCUGCAACCCGACUCCGUGAAGCUGGAUUCGCUAGUAAUCGCGCAUCAGCCAUGGCGCGGUGAAUACGUUCCCGGGCCUUGCACUCACCGCCCGUCA
rnacentral:rRNA from 1 species